CUACGAAGGGGGCUAGCGUUGUUCGGAAUUACUGGGCGUAAAGCGCGCGUAGGCGGACUGAUCAGUUGGGGGUGAAAUCCCAGGGCUUAACCCUGGAACUGCCUCCAAUACUGUCAGUCUUGAGUUCGGGAGAGGUGAGUGGAAUUCCUAGUGUAGAGGUGAAAUUCGUAGAUAUUAGGAAGAACACCAGUGGCGAAGGCGGCUCACUGGCCCGAUACUGACGCUGAGGCGCGAAAGCGUGGGGAGCAAACAGGAUUAGAAACCCCAGUAGUCC
rnacentral:rRNA from 1 species